CUCAGCUGACUCACAUCCAUCCAUCCGUCAGAGCCGCGACGACUUGAUCAUCAUCGUGAUUAGCUCACCGCGCCAUCCCAAGGAGCCCCCCGGGGCCAGGGUACGUCGCUGUAUUUAUUUUGUACUUGUUUUAUUGUCCUAUUAUUAUGCGGAUGCUUAUAUAUUCGUGGGACUCGCCUCGAGCAUCGGGGUACCAGAGACCGGGGCGACCCGGUCGCUGGCUGCAGGUAGCGUUGAUCGGAUGACUUUUGAUGGCUUGGUCAACACAGAGGGCAACUCACUACCGGGUCAUGGGGGUGCGGUCAACCUUUCAGACACAUCACACCGGCAGUUCAAUUACUUACUAAUUCAUCAAGUUCAUACAUAAUUCUGUUGGAUUAGAAUCGUAAAGAGUGUUGGAGACCAUGUACUCCCUGUCUCCACAUGAGAGCGCAAGGAUUGUCACACUGUGUACUGCUUAUCUAUAGACAGCAACAUGUGCAGUUUCCUGAGGACAAAUACAGAUAGGGAGUGAUGCUUGCUGAUGGCCAACACAUGUACCAUUUCCUUGGAACAUCCAUGUCCAGUGAAUACACUGUUGUUCACUUUGUAAUUACCGAGAUUAAUCGAUCCUCUGACAAAGCUUUGGUGCCGUUGUCAAUGUUGCUAAACCACCUAAGGAUCAACUGUGGCUGUUUUCGGAUUGCUUGAAGGUGCCAUAAUUUCUUGGGCUUCAAGAGAUUUGAAGUUCUUGUGAAUACCUCAAUGUAUCAGUGAUUCCUCAUUAUCAGCCAAAAAAGCUGUGUAAAAGUUGUUAACCCGGAUGGGACCUAAUAUUCAAAUUAAUCAGAUUCUUCUACAAAAUUCAUAAAAAAAAACUUCAAUCAAGCCAUAGAGCAUUUAAUGUUAGUGACAACAGAACUAAGUUGGUUGUUCUGUUAGUUUAAUCUUUUUAAUUUAGACAUGGUGUUGUUUUUUAUUUGCUUGAUUCUUAGAAUUGAAAUGUUUCCUUUCUUGUUACUUUAAAGUAUCUUCUACAA